rnacentral:rRNA from 1 species
AACGAACGCUGGCGGCAUGCUUUACACAUGCAAGUCGAACGGUAACAGGGAGCUUGCUCCGCUGACGAGUGGCGAACGGGUGAGUAAUGCGUCGGAACGUGCCGAGUAGUGGGGGAUAACGCAUCGAAAGGUGUGCUAAUACCGCAUACGAACUGAGGUUGAAAGUGGGGGACCUUCGGGCCUCACGCUAUUCGAGCGGCCGACGUCUGACUUAGCUAGUUGGUGAGGUAAAGGCUCACCAAGGCGACGAUCAGUAGCGGGUCUGAGAGGAUGAUCCGCCACACUGGGACUGAGACACGGCCCAGACUCCUACGGGAGGCAGCAGUGGGGAAUUUUGGACAAUGGGCGCAAGCCUGAUCCAGCCAUGCCGCGUGUCUGAAGAAGGCCUUCGGGUUGUAAAGGACUUUUGUCCGGGAGCAAAUGCUGGUGGCUAACAUCCACCGGAGCUGAGAGUACCGGAAGAAUAAGCACCGGCUAACUACGUGCCAGCCGCCGCAGUAACAC